rnacentral:rRNA from 1 species
UAGGGAAUCUUCGGCAAUGGACGGAAGUCUGACCGAGCAACGCCGCGUGAGUGAAGAAGGUUUUCGGAUCGUAAAGCUCUGUUGUAAGAGAAGAACGAGUGUAAGAGUGGAAAGUUCACACUGUGACGGUAUCUUACCAGAAAGGGACGGCUAACUACGUGCCAGCAGCCGCGGUAAUACGUAGGUCCCGAGCGUUAUCCGGAUUUAUUGGGCGUAAAGCGAGCGCAGGCGGUUAGAUAAGUCUGAAGUUAAAGGCUGUGGCUUAACCAUAGUACGCUUUGGAAACUGUUUAACUUGAGUGCAGAAGGGGAGAGUGGAAUUCCAUGUGUAGCGGUGAAAUGCGUAGAUAUAUGGAGGAACACCGGUGGCGAAAGCGGCUCUCUGGUCUGUAACUGACGCUGAGGCUCGAAAGCGUGGGGAGCAAACAGGAUUAGAUACCCUGGUAGUCCACGCCGUAAACGAUGAGUGCUAGGUGUUGGGUCCUUUCCGGGACUCAGUGCCGCAGCUAACGCAUUAAGCACUCCGCCUGGGGAGUACGACCGCAAGGUUG